GAGUUUGAUCCUGGCUCAGAACGAACGCUGGCGGCGUGCCUAACACAUGCAAGUCGAACGAGAACGUCCCCUUCGGGGGGCUAGUACAGUGGCAUACGGGUGAGUAACACGUGGGUAACCUGCCCGGAGGUGGGGGAUAACUCUCGGAGACGGGGGGUAAUACCGCAUGAUAUCUUGGAGCUCCGGCCUCGAGAUCAAAGCUAGCCUCUACAUGUAAGCUAGCGCCACCGGAGGGGCUCGCGGCCCAUUAGCUUGUUGGUGAGGUAACGGCUCACCAAGGCGACGAUGGGUAGCCGGCCUGAGAGGGCGAUCGGCCACACUGGAACUGAGACACGGUCCAGACUCCUACGGGAGGCAGCAGUGAGGAAUAUGGCGCAAUGGGGGAAACCCUGACGCAGCGACGCCGCGUGGAGGACGAAGGCCUUCGGGUCGUAAACUCCUGUCAAGAGGGACGAAAGUCGUGCGGAUGAAUAAGUCGUACGGUUGACGGUACCUCUGGAGGAAGCCCCGGCUAACUCCGUGCCAGCAGCCGCGGUAAUACGGAGGGGCCAGCGU
rnacentral:rRNA from 1 species